rnacentral:lncRNA from 1 species
CCACAUUCUAUUGGUCACCCAGAGCCAGCCCUGAUUCAAUGCGCAAGGGAACUAAGAAGGACAUGAAUACGAGGAGGCAGGAACCAUCACAGGCUGUCUUGCAGACUGGUUACCACACACAGAAAUUGGGACUUGAAUCCAGGCCUCUCUGAUGUCAAAGUCCUUGUACUUCACUGUGCUGCCCUCCCCAAGCAGCCUCUUGAAUCUGUGGAUCCCUCUAAGUGUAAUGUCACCUUCAGCCUGCAACAGUACAGAAUGGAUAAAGUAGUGAUAUUAAACAUGCUGUAAGAGAAGAAGAGAAGCCUAGGCUCCUUGAGCAUGAUUAUAAAAUGGGGACCAGUGAGGAGAGGAUAGCCUCAAGAAGAAGAAUUGAGAGGGGCUUGGUUAACUAUCCCUAACUGGACAUUCUGCUUUUUGCUGUUCCUGGCAUCAGCUAUCAGAAAGUCUCUGUGGGGUCUUGCUGUUGCCCUGGCUGCAGUGCAGUGGCAUGAACACAGCUCACUGAAGCCUUGAACUCUCAGACUCAAUGGAUCCUUUCACCUCAGUCCCCCAAGUAGCUGGGACCACAGGUACAUGCCACCAUGCCUGGCUAAUUUUUGUAUUUUUUUUAGAGACAGGAUUUCACCAUGUUGCCCAGGCUGGUCUCGAACUCCUGUGGCUCAAGCAAUCCACCGACCUCAGUCUCCCAAAGUGCUGGACUUAUAGAUGUUAACCACUGCUCCCAGCCUUGGCUUUUUAAUUACAGCCCUGGAAGUUUUUUAUAAUCCAAUGGUAUGCUCUCUAAAGUUAUCGGAAACCUGUAUUUUUUUUUAAAUUUUACUUUAAGUUCUAGGAUACAUGUACAGAAUCUGCAGGUUUGUUACAUAGGUAUACGUGUGCCAUGGUGAUUUGCUGCACUUAUCAACCUGUCAUCUAGGUUUUAAGCCUCACAUGCAUUACGUAUUUUUUCUAAAGCUCUCCCUCCCCUUGCCCCCGACCCCCCAACAGGCCCCACCUGGUGUGAUUUCCCCUCCCUGUGUCCAUGUGUUCUCAUUGUUCAAUUCCCACCUAUGAGUGAGAGUAUGUGGUGUUUGGUUUUCUGUCCUUGUGAUAGUUUGCUGAGAAUGAUGGCUUCCAGCUUCAUCCAUGUCCCUGCAAAGGACAUGAACUCAUUCUUUUUUAUGGCUGCAUAGUGGUUCCAUGGUAUAUAUGUGCCACAUUUUCUUUAUCCAGUCCAUCAUUGAUAGACAUUUGGGUUGGUUCCAAGUCUUUGCUAUUGUAAAUACUGCUGCAAUAAACAUACGUGUGCAUGUGUCUUUACAGUAGAAUGAUUUAUAAUCCUUUGAGUAUAUAUCUACCCAGUAACGGGAUUGCUGGGUCAAAUGGUAUUUUUGGUUCUAUAUCCUUGAGGAAUUGCCACAUUGUCUUCCACAAUGGUUGAACUAAUUUACACUUCCACCAACAGUGUAAAAGCGUUCCUAUUUCUCCACAGCCUCACCAGCAUCUGUUGUUUCCUGACUUUUUAUUAAUCGCCAUUCUGACUGGCGUGAGAUGGUAUCUCAUUGUGGUUUUGAUUUGUAUUUCUCUGAUGGCCAGUGAUGAUGAGCAUUUUUUCAUGUGUCUGUUGGCUGCAUAAAUGUCUUCUUUUGAGAAGUGUCUGUUCAUAUCCUUUGCCCACUUAUUGAUGGGGUUGUUUAAUUUUUUUCUUGUAAAUUUGUUUAAGUUCUUUGUAGAUUCUGGAUAUUAGCCCUUUGUCAGAUGGGUAGCUUGCAAAAAUUUUCUCCCAUUCUGUAGGUCUCCUGUUCACUCUGAUGAUAGUUUCUUUUGCUGUGCAGAAGCUCUUUAGUUUAAUUAGAUCCCAUUUGUCAAUUUUGGCUUUUGUUGCAAUUACUUUUGGUGUUUUAGUCAUGAAGUCUUUGCCCAUGCCUAUGUCCUGAAUGGUAUUGCCUAGGUUAUCUUCUAAGGUUUUUCUGUUGUGUUUUGAGAUGGAGUUUCACUCUUGUUGCCCAGGCUGGAGUGCAAUGGUGCAGUCUCAGCUCACUGCAACCUCCGCCUCCUGGGUUCAAGCAAUUCUCAUGCCUCAGCCUCCCAAGUAGCUGGGGCUACAGGCGCAUGCCACCAUGCCCAGCUAAUUUUUGUAUUUGUAGUAGAGACGGGGUUUCACCAUGUUGGCCAGGCCAGUCUUGAACUCUUGACCUCAGGUGAUCCACCCACCUCAGCCUCCCAAAAUGCUGGGAUUACAGGCGUGAACCACUGCGCCUGACCUCUUCUAGGGUUUUUAUGGUUUGGGGUUUUACAUUUAAGUCUUUAAUCCAUCUUGAGUUAAUUUUUGUAUAAGGUGUAAGGAAGGGGUCCAAUUUCUGUUUUCUGCAUAUGGCUAGCCAGUUUUCCCAGCAUCAUUUAUUAAAUAGGAAAUCCUUUCCCCAUUGCUUGUUUUUGUCAGGUUUGUCAAAGAUCAGAUGGUUGUAGAUGUGUGGCGCUAUUUCUGAGGUCUCUGUUCUGUUCUGUUGGUCUAUUUAUCUGUUUUAGUACCAGUACCAUACUGUUUUGGUUACUGUAGCCUUAUAGUAUAGUUUGAAGUCAGGUAGUGUGAUGCCUCCAGCUUUGUUCUUUUUGCUUAGGAUUAUCUUGGCUAUGUGGGCUCUUUUUUGGUUCCAUAUGAA